UACAGAGGUCCCAAGCGUUGUUCGGAUUCAUUGGGCGUAAAGGGUGCGUAGGCGGCGGGGUAAGUCUGAUGUGAAAUCCCGGGGCUCAACCCUGGAACUGCAUUGGAUACUGCCUUGCUAGAGAACUGGAGAGGAGACUGGAAUUUACGGUGUAGCAGUGAAAUGCGUAGAGAUCGUAAGGAAGACCAGUGGCGAAGGCGAGUCUCUGGACAGUUACUGACGCUGAGGCACGAAGGCCAGGGGAGCAAACGGG
rnacentral:rRNA from 1 species